rnacentral:rRNA from 1 species
GGCUCAGGAUGAACGCUAGCGGCAGGCUUAACACAUGCAAGUCGAGGGGCAUCGGGAGUAGCAAUACUUGCCGGCGACCGGCGCAAGGGUGCGUAACGCGUGAGCAACAUGCCCGUAUCAGGGGGAUAAUCCAUGGAAACGUGGUCUAAUACCCCAUAGUAAUUAUGUAAGGCAUCUUAUAUAAUUUAAAGCUUUGGUGGAUACGGAUUGGCUCGCGUGACAUUAGCUAGAUGGUAAGGUAACGGCUUACCAUGGCUACGAUGUCUAGGGGUUCUGAGAGGAAGGUCCCCCACACUGGAACUGAGACACGGUCCAGACUCCUACGGGAGGCAGCAGCGAGGAAUAUUGGACAAUGGAUGGAAAUCUGAUCCAGCCAUGCCGCGUGCAGGAAGAACCGGCCCUAUGGGUUGUAAACUGCUUUUGUAUGGGAGCAAUAAGGGCUACGUGUAGUCCGAUGAGAGUACCAUACGAAUAAGCACCGGCUAACUCCGUGCCAGCAGCAGC